UCAUUUUCUCUUGAUCUUAACAUAGUUUCAUAAGCAUAGGUUCUUAUGUUUUUUCUAAUGGGUGUUUCUGCCAUUAAACUCAUGAUUUCUUCCUUCCCAACAGUGUUUUCGCUCUUUUUCGAUCCCUUUUCCGACUCCGUUUUGAAUUGUUGAUCACACCCUUUGAUUCUUUACAUUGCUCUAAGUUCAACGGACCAAACCUUGCCAUCAUCCUAUUUCUAACACGCUGCCACGCGCCGCCUUCAUUCUCCAUACUGCCUCCAUUGUUCAUAUUUUCCCAGCUAAGUUUUCCACUAAUUUUGUGGUCCUUCUGUCAUCUUCUUCAGUCACUGUUGAGUUCAUCAGCAUCUUCACGUCGUUUCGAGUUGAAAGACCGAACUCCCGUUGGAAACAACGUCUUUAUGCACCCGCAGGCGCUCUCUAUAGAUCGUUGCCUACUCUCAUUUCCUCAAUAUCUAGAUCGUUUCUUAGCCGUCUGAUCGGCCUGAGAUCAACAGCCCAGCAUAUGAACCACAUGCUGCUCUGACCUAUUUCAGAUCCACGCAUUGACUCGAACUGGCCUGUGUUGACCCAUGUCAUCUCACCUUACUGACUCAACGCUGAUGAGGAUUCAACUACCUAUCUCGUGCCGCCACAUGUCACUCGCAUGUUGACGUGACUUCUGAUGUGGCACGCUAGUGGGACCUUUCCAAAUAUUUUUUGGUGAGGUCUUUCCAUUUUUGCACUCAGUUUUCUCAUUUUCUCCUCCGAUCUUUCUGUUUCUUCAAAGUCUUUGUCGUGGUUUUAUUUGCUCUCAUGGAAAAACCAAAUAUUUUUCAGCCUAUUCUUGUCAUUCUUAAUGGUUCUAACUAUAGCCAUUAGGUUGAAGCCAUGAAAGGUUUUCUCAAAGGAUGCAAAUUAUAGAGCUAUGUGACUGGUGAUAUUGUUUGUCCUAUUAAAUUGGUUGUCACUGCAACGGACAAAUCCAAGGAUGCCACUUCCAAAUCUCAAGAUGAUGUCAAUCAAGACUUAGCUGAGAAAUUAGAAGAUUGGGAUAGUAAAAAUCAUCAGAUUAUCACUUGGUUUCAGAAUACUUCCAUCCCAGGUAUCCAUCUAUAAUUUGGACAUUUUGAAACGGUUAAAAAGGUAUGGAAUCAUCUAGCCAAAUGUUAUACCAUUUCUGAUCUCUCACAUCAAUAUCAACUUCUCAAGGAGCUUCACAGCCUUAAACAAGACUAGGGACAAGCUGUUUAUGAUUUUCUUUCUCAAAUGCAAAUCAUUUGGGAUCAACUGACUUUUUGUGAACCUGUUCUUAAAAGUGCAAAUAUUGCCAAGUUAUAUGAGGAUUAUCGUAACUGAACACACCUUAUUCAGUUUCUCAUGGCACUUACUGAUGACUAUGAGCCAGUAAGAGCCUCUCUUCUCCAUCAGAGUCCCUUGCCUAGUAUUGAAGAUACUCUCCCCUACCUGAAGUUUGAAGAAACGCGUCUAGGGCUUACUCGAUCCAGAACUGAGAAUGUCUUUGCAAUUGCUGACAAAAAGACAAAAUUUUGUCGACAUUGUAACCGUUCUGGUCAUCUCUUUCCUGAUUGUCCCUUUGUUGAAUGUCGAAAAUGUAAGCAAAAAGGUCAUAUAGCCUCCAACUGUUCCACCAUAUUUUGACACUACUGCAACCAAUUCGGCUACUUAAUUACCUCUUGUGCUACUCAUCCACCAUGUCCAGAUCCAAAUAAGCAUCAUCUCGUUCUAAGUCAGUGCCUGUUUCUCUUGUUGUUGCUAAUGUCUCUACCUCAUCCACUUCUGCUAGUCCAUUGCCUAGCUAUUUCUUCAUCAGAUGUUGAAUCAUGUCUUAAACAACUUCCCUCGUUCUCUAGUAAUACUUCUUCUACUUUAUCCACUGAUCCAGGAUCGUCGGGUGGAAUAGAUCAUCGAAACUGGAUGUAAGGUUGGAAGACAUUUUGAGCUAAGGAAUCUUCAUGUUUGAUGAGUUUGGAAAACUCCAAAUUAAUAUGAUGAUCAAACAUUGUUAAAAAUUAUUAUUAGGAUUUAUUAAUUUGAUUUUGAUUCAAAAUUAUGUGCUUAAUAAUUUCUGUUUUGUGUGCAGAUUUUGAUCAUUGGGCUUAAUGAAACUUAAAGCCCAAAUGUGCUAAGGAAGUAGUAUUCAGCCUUGUACAAAAUUCUAAUUAAUGAAUGGCUGAGUUAUUACUAUGAGUUGGACCAGAAAAUCUUUAAGCAAGCCCAAUUCAACCUUUGUUGCAAGACCAACAAAGCCUGGUCCGAAAAUUGAAAGGGGAAAGAAAGCAAAAGUUUCAUGCUUUCCACGGAUGCCUUCCCCUCUUUAAUGGAAUUCAAAUUCAUUUAACUUGGUUUAAUUGCAUUGGUAACAUGAAAGAGAAAAUGCAAUUGAUUUGAUGGUAUUAAUUGAUUUCACACGUUACAAGUCAUGGGGAUGGGGGGAGGGAAGUGGAUAAUUAACUCAUUUUAAUUUCUUUCUUCACUCUCAUUAAAAGCUUUUUCACUCUUCUCUCUCUUCUCUCUCUAGUUUCGGUCACUUCACUGACAGUGAAGAAGCUUGUAGAAGCAAGCUAUCAGAGGAAGAAGAACAGAAGCUAUGAAGAAGCAAGAGGCCAAGGUGAUGAUGGUCCUUGCAAAAGGAAGAUCUACAGUAUGGCAUGGCUAGGAUUUUUGCCACUAAAGGCAAGGAUUGAAGAAGAUUCAAGAUCUCCAUGCCUAAAAAUGGUAGCAAUCCAUUUUGGUCAGAGAAGAAGAUCUCUUAGGUGAGGCUCGUUUUUACUUUUUGUUCAUCCAUCACAUAAGGUAUCUACUGUAGCUACGUGGAGGAGGAAGCAAAAGUGAAGCAGAUGGAACUGUCAAGGAUCAAGGGU